AGAGUUUGAUCCUGGCUCAGGACGAACGCUGGCGGCGUGCUUAACACAUGCAAGUCAAGGGGGCCCAGCAAUGGGCAACCGGCGAACGGGUGCGUAACACGUGAGCAACCUACCGAACUGUGGGGGAUAGCCGGCCUAACGGCCGAGUAAUACCGCAUACGCUCUCAGGGAGGCAUUUCUUUGAGAGGAAACCUACGGGACAGAUCGAGGGGCUCGCGGCCUAUCAGCUAGUUGGCGAGGUAACGGCUCACCAAGGCAACGACGGGUAGCUGGUCUGAGAGGAUGGCCAGCCACAUUGGGACUGAGAUACGGCCCAGACUCCUACGGGAGGCAGCAGUGGGGAAUCUUGCGCAAUGGCCUAACGGCUGACGCAGCGACGCCGCGUGUGGGAUGAAGCUCUUCGGAGUGUAAACCACUGUUGCCCGGGACGAAUAGCUCGAUUAAUCGAGCCUGACGGUACCGGGUGAGGAAGCACCGGCUAACUCCGUGCCAGCAGCCGCGGUAAUACGGGGGGUGCGAGCGUUGUCCGGAAUCACUGGGCGUAAAGGGC
rnacentral:rRNA from 1 species